rnacentral:rRNA from 1 species
AGCGGACAGAUGGGAGCUUGCUCCCUGAUGUUAGCGGCGGACGGGUGAGUAACACGUGGGUAACCUGCCUGUAAGACUGGGAUAACUCCGGGAAACCGGGGCUAAUACCGGAUGGUUGUUUGAACCGCAUGGUUCAAACAUAAAAGGUGGCUUCGGCUACCACUUACAGAUGGACCCGCGGCGCAUUAGCUAGUUGGUGAGGUAACGGCUCACCAAGGCAACGAUGCGUAGCCGACCUGAGAGGGUGAUCGGCCACACUGGGACUGAGACACGGCCCAGACUCCUACGGGAGGCAGCAGUAGGGAAUCUUCCGCAAUGGACGAAAGUCUGACGGAGCAACGCCGCGUGAGUGAUGAAGGUUUUCGGAUCGUAAAGCUCUGUUGUUAGGGAAGAACAAGUACCGUUCGAAUAGGGCGGUACCUUGACGGUACCUAACCAGAAAGCCACGGCUAACUACGUGCCAGCAGCCGCGGUAAUACGUAGGUGGCAAGCGUUGUCCGGAAUUAUUGGGCGUAAAGGGCUCGCAGGCGGUUUCUUAAGUCUGAUGUGAAAGCCCCCGGCUCAACCGGGGAGGGUCAUUGUAAACUGGGGAACUUGAGUGCAGAAGAGGAGAGUGGAAUUCCACGUGUAGCGGUGAAGUGCAUAGAGAUGUG